CUCUCGUUUUUGAAGUCCAGUCAUUCAUAUCAAUAGCAACUGGCUACCUUUCCUAAGCCUGGAUAUUUGUGACACAACCUCAGAUCCUACCAACCAAGAGGAAAAGAUCAGCAAGGCUUGAAAGAAAGCAAAUCUUCGGAUUCAAGAGUGGAAACCUCUUGACAUCAAACAAUGAACUCCAUACAGACUCCUGACCAGAUAGGGGCACGAGCUCGUCGAAAGAUGGCACAAGCUAGAGAGGCUCAGGAAAGUGAAGCAUCAAACAAUGGUAACAACAAUAUUAAUCAAUCCUCUGAAGAAAAAAAGUUGCUGCUCCUCCUGUUCCAGAUCCCUCAACUUCUCUCAAUUCAUCAAACAAUGAUAACACUAAUACUAAUCAAAUCGCUGAAGAAAAAAAGCUGCUGCUGCUUUUGCAACCACUGUCAAUCCAUCAAGCAAAGAGCCAAAGAGGUCUUUCUGUUGCUGUUUCUGAAUUUCCUGAUUCUGUCCACCCUUCAUAUAUAUAUAUGUGUGUGUGCGCGCGCGCUCUCUUUUUUUAUUCUAUCAUCCAAACACUUGUAUUA